GUAAAACCCCUGGUGGAGACAUUUUCCCCAAGCCCACUAUUUUUCUUCCUUCAAUUGCUGAAAUGAACCUCCAUAAGGCUGGAACAUAUCUUUGUCUUCUCGAGAAUUUUUUCCCUGAUGUUAUUAAAGUGUAUUGGAAAGAAAAAAAUGGCAAUACAAUUCUGGAAUCUCAGCAGGGAAGUACCAUGAAGACUAACAACAAGUACAUGAAAUUGAGCUGGCUGACAGUGACUGAAAAGUCACUAGAUAAAGAACACAAAUGCAUCGUCAAACAUGAGAAUAAUAAAGGAGGAGUUGAUCAAGAGAUCCUCUUUUCCGCAAUAAAGAAAGGUAUGUGUAUAUAAAUGUAAGUAGAACCUCCCAGGAAACUUAUCUGAAUGGGAAUGCCCCACCUUUUUCUGCCUGGAUGUUACAUUUAAUGGUAGCAUAAAUGCUCUGCUAUUUCCCAUUGAAUUAAAAUGGUAUGGGUGUUGGAGAAAA